UACGUAGGGGGCAAGCGUUAUCCGGAUUUACUGAGUGUAAAGGGAGCGUAGACGGCGAUGCAAGUCUGAAGUGAAAGGCGGGGGCCCAACCCCCGGACUGCUUUGGAAACUGUAUGGCUGGAGUGCAGGAGAGGUAAGUGGAAUUCCUAGUGUAGCGGUGAAAUGCGUAGAUAUUAGGAGGAACACCAGUGGCGAAGGCGGCUUACUGGACUGUAACUGACGUUGAGGCUCGAAAGCGUGGGGAGCAAACAGG
rnacentral:rRNA from 1 species